rnacentral:rRNA from 1 species
UACGUAGGGUCCGAGCGUUGUCCGGAAUUACUGGGCGUAAAGGGCUCGUAGGCGGUCUGUCGCGUCGGUAGUGAAAACUCAGGGCUCAACCCUGAGCGUGCUUUCGAUACGGGCAGACUAGAGGUAUGCAGGGGAGAAUGGAAUUCCUGGUGUAGCGGUGGAAUGCGCAGAUAUCAGGAGGAACACCAAUGGCGAAGGCAGGUCCCUGGGCAGUUACUGACGCUGAGGAGCGAAAGCAUGGGUAGCGAACAGGAUUAGAUA